rnacentral:rRNA from 1 species
UACGGAGGGGGCUAGCGUUGUUCGGAAUUACUGGGCGUAAAGCGCACGUAGGCGGCUUUGUACGUUAGAGGUGAAAGCCCAGGGCUCAACCCUGGAAUUGCCUUUAAGACUGCAUCGCUAGAAUUGUGGAGAGGUAAGUGGAAUUCCGAGUGUAGAGGUGAAAUUCGUAGAUAUUCGGAAGAACACCAGUGGCGAAGGCGACUUACUGGACACAUAUUGACGCUGAGGUGCGAAAGCGUGGGGAGCAAACAGG